AGUGAACGCUGGCGGUAGGCCUAACACAUGCAAGUCGAACGGCAGCACAGUAAGAGCUUGCUCUUACGGGUGGCGAGUGGCGGACGGGUGAGGAAUACAUCGGAAUCUACUUUUUCGUGGGGGAUAACGUAGGGAAACUUACGCUAAUACCGCAUACGACCUACGGGUGAAAGCAGGGGAUCUUCGGACCUUGCGCGAUUGAAUGAGCCGAUGUCGGAUUAGCUAGUUGGCUGGGUAAAGGCCCACCAAGGCGACGAUCCGUAGCUGGUCUGAGAGGAUGAUCAGCCACACUGGAACUGAGAAACGGUCCAGACUCCUACGGGAGGCAGCAGUGGGGAAUAUUGGACAAUGGGCGCAAGCCUGAUCCAGCCAUACCGCGUGGGUGAAGAAGGCCUUCGGGUUGUAAAGCCCUUUUGUUGGGAAAGAAAAGCAGCAGGUUAAUACCCCGCUGUUCUGACGGUACCCAAAGAAUAAGCACCGGCUAACUUCGUG
rnacentral:rRNA from 1 species